rnacentral:rRNA from 1 species
GAUGAACGCUGGCGGCGUGCCUAAUACAUGCAAGUCGAGCGAACAGACGAGGAGCUUGCUCCUCUGACGUUAGCCGCGCACGGGUGAGUAACACGUGGAUCACCCACCUAUAAGUCUGGGAUAACUUCGGGAAACCGGCGCUAAUACCGGAUAAUAUAUUGAACCGCAUGGUUCAAUAGUGAAAUACGGUUGUGCUGUCUCUUCUAGCUGGAUCUGCGCUGCAUUAGCUAGUUGGUAAGGUAACGGCUUACCAAGGCAACGAUGCGUAGCCGACCUGAGAGAGUGAUCGGCGACACUGGAGCUGAGACAGGGUCCAGACUCCUGAGAGAGGCAGCAGUAGGGAAUGUGCCGCAAUGGGCGAAAGCCUGACGGAGCAACGCGGCGUGAGUGAUGAAGGUGUUCGGAUCGUAAAACUCUGUUAUUGGGGAAGAACAAAUGUGUAAGUAAAUAUGCACGUAUUGACGGUAACUGGUCAGAAAGCCACGGCUAACUACGUG